CACGUAGGGUGCGAGCGUUGUCCGGAAUUAUUGGGCGUAAAGGGCUCGUAGGCGGCCAACUAAGUCGGACGUGAAAUCCCUCAGCUUAACUGGGAACUGCGUCCGAUACUGGAUGGCUUGGAUUUGGGAGAGGGAUGCGGAAUUCCAGGUGUAGCGGUGAAAUGCGUAGAUAUCUGGAGGAACACCGGUGGCGAAGGCGGCAUCCUGGACCAAUAUUGACGCUGAGGAGCGAAAGCCAGGGGAGCAAACGGGAUUAAGAUGACCCGGGUAGUCC
rnacentral:rRNA from 1 species